UCUGAUUUUGCUAUCUCUUUCCGCAG
rnacentral:piRNA from 1 species